UUGGAAUGAUUUGUUAAUGGAAAUGGUGGUUAAUGGUUGAGUUGUUCAUGAAAUCAGAGUCACAGAAUUUGGUGGAUGAAUAACGGAUAUCCUCCUUCACCGUGUGAAUACUACAGAGUUCAGUUCAUAAUUUGAGGUUCUUUAUUCCCAACCUUGAUCACCAUUAUAAGACUAGUACCAAUUUUAUUUUUUCAUGAGUUGGUUGUAAUCUUCUUUCUAUCUUGUUGUUUGUUGUAAUACAUUUGAUGUCAAAUUUAACUGUUUUUUUAUUAUUUUUUCUGUUAGUAGUGCUCUAUGAUAGUUCUGCCGAGUAAAGUACUUGUUUCCUCUUGCCGAUACAGGUCUCUGUGUUUUUUUCUUCCUGCCAGAUAAACCCAUUUUCAUAGUUCAGAAAAUAUUACUGUAGAUUGGUACGUGUAUCAUCUUGUUUUUAGACUCCACAUGUACUUGCUGCAUUUAUUUUGUUAAUUUAUCUUCUUUUUAAUCCAAUUUUAAUUGACUGGAAGAUCGUUGUUAUGUUGCAGAUGAACUUGCUGAUCCAAGUGCAUAAGCAGAUGUCUGUAUCUUUAAAAUUUUAGAAAAUUUGAGGCUAUAUUUGAAUGACGGACUGUAUAAUAAUGCAACUUGGUGGUUGUUCCGGAAAAAAGCGAUCUUAUAAAUUUAGGACUAUAUUUGUGACUUGAAAUUAUUAGUUUAGGAUGCCGUUGAAAAUAGUAUUAGAGGCGGGAUUGAAUUUUUCAGUUUUAAUCUCAACCGUUGAACGAUAAAGAUGG
rnacentral:lncRNA from 1 species